CAAUAAUUCAUAUACAAAGAUGAACUCAAUCGUCACAUGAUUGAUUUUAGGAUACAAUUUCCAACAACUCCCACUUGGACUAAAGCCAGUCAGGAUAGUAUCUUAUACCCAUCUUCCAUUUGAAGUCAUCAAACUCUUUGAUCUCGAGAGCUUUAGUGAAGAGAUCAGCUAGAUUCUCUUUUCUAUUGAUCUUCUGAAGCUCGACAUCAUCUUGAUUCAUGAUCUCUCG
rnacentral:lncRNA from 1 species